ACGGAGGGUGCGAGCGUUGUUCGGAAUUACUGGGCGUAAAGGGCGCGUAGGCGGCGUAACAAGUCAGGUGUGAAAGUCCAGGGCUUAACCCUGGAAGUGCAUCUGAAACUGUUAUGCUUGAGUAUCGGAGAGGAAGGUGGAAUUCCCGGUGUAGAGGUGAAAUUCGUAGAGAUCGGGAGGAAUAUCUGAGGCGAAGGCGACCUUCUGGACGAAUACUGACGCUGAGGCGCGAAAGCGUGGGUAGCAAACAGG
rnacentral:rRNA from 1 species